rnacentral:rRNA from 1 species
GAAAGAGUUGUGAUCCUGGCUCAGAUUGAACGCUGGCGGCAUGCCUUACACAUGCAAGUCGAACGGCAGCACGGGGGCAACCCUGGUGGCGAGGUGGGCGAACGGGUGGAGUAAUACAUCGGAACGUGUCCUGUAGUGGGGGAUAGCCCGGCGAAAGCCGGAUUAAUACCGCAUACGAUCUACGGAAGAAAGCGGGGGAUCGCAAGACCUCGCGCUAUUAGGGGCGGCCGAUGGCAGAUUAGCUAGUUGGUGGGGUAAAGGCCUACCAAGGCGACGAUCUGUAGCUGGUCUGAGAGGACGACCAGCCACACUGGGACUGAGACACGGCCCAGACUCCUACGGGAGGCAGCAGUGGGUGAAUUUUGGACAAUGGGGGGAAACCCUGAUCCAGCCAUGCCGCGUGUGUGAAGAAGGCCUUCGGGUUGUAAAGCACUUUUUGUCCGGAAAGAAAACCUUUGCACUAAUACUGUGAGGGAAAAGAAAAUACCGGAAGAAUAAGCACCGGCUAACUACGUUGCCAGCAGCCGCGGUAAUACCGUAGGGUGCGAGCGUUAAUCGGAAUUACUGGGCGUAAAGCGUCGCGCAGGCGGGUUCGUUAAGACAGAGUGUGAAAUCCCCGGGCUUAACCUGGGAACUGCAUUUGUGACUGGCGAGCUAGAGUAUGGCAGAGGGGGGUAGAAUUCCACGUGUAGCAGUGAAAUGCGUAGAGAUGUGGAGGAAUACCGAUGGCGAAGGCAGCCCCCUGGGCCAAUACUGACGCUCAUGCACGAAAGCGUGGGGAGCAAACAGGAUUAGAUACCCUGGUAGUCCACGCCCUAAACGAUGUCUUCUAUUUGUUGGGUCUUCAUUGACUUAGUAACGUAGCUAACGCGUGAAGUUGACCGCCUGGAUUUUCAGCGUCGCAAGAUUAAAACUCAAAGGAAUUGACGGGGACCCGCACAAGCGGUGGAUGAUGUGGAUUAAUUCGAUGCAACGCGAAAAACCUUACCUACCCUUGACAUGGUCGGAACCUGGCUGAAAGGCUGGGGUGCUCGAAAGAGAACCGAUACACAGGUGCUGCAUGGCUGU